AUGAGCCCAACACAAACGCGGCUUAUGGGACCUGCAGGUCUCCGAAGGCAGUGGAUGCGAGCGUACGAGCUCUCCAUUUCACUCAUUAUGUUUUAUUCCAUCAGGGUGAUGACGGGAUCCCAGGGGAGCCAGGACUUGUGGGCGCUAAGGGAGAAAAAGGAAGUCCUGGUCCAAUGGGAGAGAACGGCACAGAUGGUUUGCCAGGAUCCAAGGGUGAACCUGGUGAGAAGGGAGGAGUCGGCUCCAUUGGACCACGGGGUCCGCCUGGCCUGAAGGGGGAACAGGGCGACACCGUGGUGAUCGACUACGACGGCCGCAUCCUGGACGCGCUCAAGGUGAGCCCAGGGGCGAGGUAACGCCUACGGGCCGGGGACUUCAUCCUCAGCUGGGACGGGGUUACCUCCCCGGGACGGCUCCGCGCGUCGAGGAGCGGCCGGUCUCGGCCAGGAUUGGGCCGAUUGGGUGGCAGGCGGGAGCGCCUGGGACGCUGUUACUGCCCCCAGGAGCUCGGGACGUUUGGGACCUGCCGCGGGG
rnacentral:lncRNA from 1 species